UCACUGGGAAAAGCAAAAAAAGAGUGAAAAACUGACACUUCUACCAAACUAAACCAUAUAAGAAUAUGGUUCGGCAACAAAGAAUACAGUAGAAAACACCAAAAUUGGGAAAAAUGUCUACUUUCAGCUAAAUGUCUACUCUCAAAGUAUAUCUCAUGACCACACCAUGUGAAUGUAAAUUGAUCCAGCAAUACUGUCUGACUCCAUGGAUACCAAGAACAUGUAGCUUCUUUAACCUACAUCUUCACAAUCAAAUAUCUUAGACCUCCAGUAAAGUAAGUGCAUGCAUAAAAUAGCCUAUAUCUAAGAGAAAAUAUACAUGUAGUUGUAUCCAUGUUCACGAUGAAUCAUACUUAUUUUACUGUGAAACAACUAAGAAAACAUGGAUGCAAAUAGUAAGCAAUCAAGAGAGGUAUCGAGGUAUCGAUUAUAUAAUUGGAUCUUACUCAGGCGUAGAGAAAAUAUGUGUACUUUCCACCAAAUCAGACUUUUAACCAAUGCAUAGCAACAAAUAGUAGACUGAAACAAUAGAGUUGAAGAAAAAAAUAUAAGAUUAAUAUGUAAUACUACAUGUGGAAAUCUAAUCAGUGUGUCGAAUUCCUUGAGAUGACUAUCUGCAUAACUAGUAAGCGAAAUUCAUGGUAAUAUAUAUAUAUAAGUUGGUGAACAUAAUUUCCAUGUGAGGAUAAAUCUAGAAAUCAGUUGACUUCCCUCUGUACAGUUUGUCAAAAUGUUGCAGAACUUUCCAUUAACAAACAACCAUGUGCAGGAAUAAAAAAGGUCACCUCAAGCUAAUAGAUCUGUAGGAAUAAAAAUAGGCACCUCAAGUCUAAAUUAGUUCUGCGGGAAUCUUAUAAAUUGCAUGUUUUUGACUCAAUCUAGACAAGAUUGAGAUUUAGGUGCAUGUGUUAUCUUAGUCUAAAUAAUGUUCUGAUUUGGCUGCGCAUUCACUUGAGCCAACAGAAAUUCAGAGUAGAUGCGAAGGGAAUGCAACAAUUUUUUCUGCAUGGUUGUUCCAUAAAAGUGGAUGUGUUCAAUUAUUUGUGAACUAACUCAUGAGACAUCACAUAAAUAUUAGCAACUCAUCUGUAUGUUAUUGCGGCAGUGAGGUAGCAAGGCAAUAGCGGUGGAUUGGAAUUAGGGGGAAUCUGGACUAACCUCAUCAGUGAACUGGAAGAGGCACCGGCGCACAAAGCAUAUUGACUACAACUUACGAAUAAAAAAUUCAGCUCACAUUGGAGACAAAUACCCAUAGAUUAAAUGUAGAAAACCAAAAGGGAUAGCUCACCGAUGCGUUCAAAUUUCAAUCAAGGCACAAGAGAGAGGAGGAACAAAGGAAAAGAAGCAACACCAAUGUUACAGAGCACCAGAUAGAUCCGCACCAUUAUGAAACUGCAGUCCAAGAGAGCCGAGAGAGCCACCGUAUGCCGUAGCAGACUGGCGACCGUGACGGAGGGCACAAACGUAGAUCUCUUCAUAGGCGGAGCACUAUUGCAGGG
rnacentral:lncRNA from 1 species